AUUUCAUACUGUUUUUCUUUUCGUAUAACCUUAAUGAUUGGAUUAAGGGUCUCUACUUGGAAACCGUAAAUUUCUAGCUACGAAAAAAUAUGUUCUUUGC
rnacentral:ncRNA from 2 species